CAGCCGCCGCGGGAAUACGAGGGGGGCAAGCGUUGUUCGGAAUUAUUGGGCGUAAAGGGCGCGUAGGCGGUUUGACAAGUUUGGUGUGAAAUCUCUGGGCUCAACCCAGAGUCUGCAUGGGAAACUGUCGGGCUUGAGUAUGGGAGAGGUGAGUGGAAUUUCCGGUGUAGCGGUGAAAUGCGUAGAUAUCAGAAGGAACACCUGUGGCGAAAGCGGCUCACUGGACCAUAACUGACGCUGAUGCACGAAAGCUAGGGGAGCAAACAGGAUUAGAUACCCCAGUAGUCCCUGUCUCUUAUAA
rnacentral:rRNA from 1 species